rnacentral:lncRNA from 1 species
AUGAUGCAUAGAAGGUCUCCACCGUCAGACAGCCUGCCUCAAUGAUUUGGCCCUUCACUUUCUUCUCAAUCUCGGCGACCUUCGCCUAUGCCGCCCGGUGUCUCUUCUUCUGUGAAGCCAGUUAGCCUCAGCCUUGACCUUGGACACCUCAGCCUUUUCUAGGACCUUCUUGAGAUGCUUAGCUUCAAUCUCGACCACCUCACUAC